rnacentral:rRNA from 1 species
AAAUAAUGCUGGGGUACGAUGCGGAGCGAAAUUAAGUAGCGAAGUAGCUGAUUUCACACUGUCGAGAAAAGUCUCUAUCGAGGUUAAAGGUGCCUGUACCGCAAACCGACACAGGUGGGUGAGGAGAGUAUCCUAAGGCCAGCGAGAGAACUGUUGUUAAGGAACUCGGCAAAAUGACCCCGUAACUUCGGGAGAAGGGGUGCCUUCGAAAGAAGGCCGCAGAGAAUAGGCCCAAGCGACUGUUUACCAAAAACAUAGGUUUCUGCUAAGUCGCAAGACGAUGUAUAGGAGCUGACGCCUGCCCGGUGCUGGAAGGUUAAGGGGAUCUGUUAGAGCAAUCGAAGCAGUGAACUUAAGCCCCAGUAAACGGCGGCCGUAACAAUAACGGUCCUAAGGUAGCGAAAUUCCUUGUCGGGUAAGUUCCGACCCGCACGAAAGGCGUAACGAUUUGGGCACUGUCUCAACAACAGACUCGGUGAAAUUGUAAUACCGGUGAAGAUGCCGGUUACCUGCGACAGGACGGAAAGACCCCAUGGAGCUUUACUGUAGCUUGACAUUGAGUCUCGGUGCUACAUGUACAGGAUAGGUGGGAGACUAUGAAGCAUGGACGUCAGUCUGUGUGGAGUCAUCCUUGGGAUACCACCCUUGUAGUACUGGGAUUCUAACCAGAGGCCAUGAAUCUGGUCUUGGGACACUGUCAGGUGGACAGUUUGACUGGGGCGGUCGCCUCCCAAAAAGUAACGGAGGCGCUCAAAGGUUCUCUCAGUACGGUCGGAAAUCGUACGAAGAGUGUAAAGGCAAAAGAGAGCUUGAUUGCAAGACAUACAGGUCGAGCAAGGACGAAAGUCGGACUUAGUGAUCCGGUGGUUCCGCAUGGAAGGGCCAUCGCUCAACGGAUAAAAGCUACCCUGGGGAUAACAGGCUGAUCUCCCCCAAGAGUCCACAUCGACGGGGAGGUUUUGGCACCUCGAUGUCGGCUCAUCACAUCCUGGGGCUGUAGUAGGUCCCAAGGGUUGGGCUGUUCGCCCAUUAAAGUGGUACGCGAGCUGGGUUCAGAACGUCGUGAGACAGUUCGGUCCCUAUCCGUCGCAGGCGUAGGAAAUUUGAGGAGACCUGUCCUUAGUACGAGAGGACCGGGAUGGACGUACCGCUGGUGUACCAGUUGUUCUGCCAAGGCAUGGCUGGGUAGCUAAGUACGGAAAGGAUAAGCGCUGAAAGCAUCUAAGCGCGAAGCCCACUUCAAGAUAAGAUUUCCCACCGUAAGGUUAAGAUCCCAGGAAGACUACCUGGUUGAUAGGUCAGAGGUGUAAGUGCAGUAAUGUAUUUAGCUUACUGAUACUAAUAGAUCGAGGACUUGACU